rnacentral:lncRNA from 1 species
UUCCCCUUAACAACAUACCAUGUCAAUGCAGAUUUUGAGAAAAAUUUGAAGGAGAGGAGACUUUCCGCCCAUUUUAAUAAUAUUUGGAAAAAUUUUCAUCCUCAGCAGAGUAAUUCCCCUGUUUCAGUUUCAUAUACUGCAUCUCAUACAACAUCAAGAAGCAACAAUUUGAUUACCCAAUUCAAAGAAACUGCCAAUUUUCAAUUAACCAAUUUCAAGAUUCAUUUCUUCUGAUUAAAAAAACAAAGAACUACGAGAAAUAUAACAAAAUCAGACUCCACGAAUCAUCGAAAUUUGAGAAAUUAUGGGUAAAUACACAAAAACAAAAGCCCAUAUCAUCCUCAUUCCUCUCCAUCGAUUUCCACAAUAAGAAAUAUUUACACAAAAAGAGAAGAAGCCUAUAGAAAUAAAAUAGAGAAAAGGAAAAACAGAGGAUCUAUCAUAGAGCCAUGCAGAAUGAGAAGGGUAUCCACUAAUACAAUUGAAAUUCAAUUCUAUGAAUCGCCAACCGAGACGGCUCUGGUGGUUAAUCCCAAAGGAGAGCGAGAGCGAUGGCGACUGCCUGUGAUAUCUCUGAGAACAGAUCUCAUCUCCGGUUGCCCUGGAGACCAAUCGACCACUUUAUUGGAUUCUUGCUUGAUCUUAAUCACUUGAUUGUGAACUGGAAAACCCAUGUUAACACUUCGAUCUUCUUUCCCAAACAGCCUCUGAUCCAUCUUCCGCAAGAGCUUCUGUGGAUAGAGAAAUUGUGUAUGAGAAUGGGUGAUUUAUAUAUGAGAAGAAAGAGAGAUUUAGGUAACAGAGGAAGGAAGUUUGGCAGGAAAAUUCCGCCUUUGGUUCCUUUGGAGUUUCGAUUUCGACCCCACUGCUUUAGACC